GACUCGUGUGGCAGUAGGCAGCGUUUUCACUGCUGGGCACGAUCUGCUAAUGGGUACUUUGUGGCUAAGUGUGUUGUCCCUUCGGGAGAAAAAAUAAUUUUAUCCCAGCACAUGUCUUGUCCCCGAGUCUUCUGAUCAGUGCUGCUGUUGGGCUCACAAGAGUCAUUUGUAAGCUUCCCAAGCGAGAUGCCGGCAACUCCUCCAUCCCCAGGACUACCAUGGAGAACAUGGUACUAUUGCUGGUGAGACCCAGAAGACACAGAUGGCAAAAGUCCACGGACUUCUCUGCAGAACAGAGGCUGAUGUCAGGGAGGUGCGGACCAUUUCGUGAGGAGAAUAUGGAGGAGCUCCGGGUGCUGGAGACACAAGGCUGCAACUUGCCACAUGAAGAAUGUUUGGAAGAGUUCAUGGUAGUGGAGACUCUGGCUCUGACUGCUCACAUCUUGAUGGAUCAGGAUUAGAGAGAAGGAGAUGUCUUCUACCCCCUCCCUUUUUGCUUCCCUCCUUCUCUCUUUCCAUAAUUUCAUGUAUAUGAAAUGCUCAGAGUUGGACAAAUCAGGUAAAAAGCAGCUUAGCAUUCCAGGGGCUGUUUGCAGGGAGGUAAGGGAGGCCUCUGUCAGCACACACAUGUGU
rnacentral:sRNA from 1 species